AGAGUUUGAUCAUGGCUCAGAACGAACGCUGGCGGCGUGGAUUAGGCAUGCAAGUCGAACGAUCCCGAGAAAUCGGGAUAGUGGCGCAAGGGUGAGUAACACGCGGGUAAUUUACCCCCCAGAUGGGGAUAACCUGAAGAAAUUCGGGCUAAUACCGAAUGAUACCUCCUGUCGCAUGGCAGGGGAGUCAAAGGAACCGUUUCGGCGGUUCCGCUGGAGGAGAAACCCACGUCCUAUUAGCUUGUUGGUGAGGUAACGGCUCACCAAGGCUCUUGAUGGGUAGCCGAGCUGAGAGGCUGACCGGCCACACUGGGACUGAGACACUGCCCAGACUCCUACGGGAGGCUGCAGUCGAGAAGCUUCCGCAAUGGGCGAAAGCCUGACGGAGCGACGCCGCGUGGAGGAUGAAGGUCUUCGGAUUGUAAACUCCUGUCACAUGGGAAGAAAGCUCGUUGAGCAUUGCUUGAAGAGCCUGACGGUACCAUGAGAGGAAGCCCUGGCUAACUCCGUGCCAGCAGCCGCGGUAACACGGGGAGGGCGAGCGUUGUUCGGAUUUACUGGGCGUAAAGGGCAUGUAGGUGUCCUUGUAAGUCGAGUGUGAAAGCCCUCCGCUCAACGGGGGAAUUGCACUGGAUACUGCGAGGAUAGAGUUUAGGAGAGGAGAGCGGAAUUCUCGGUGUAGCGGUGAAAUGCGUAGAUAUCGAGAAGAACACCUGUGGCGAAGGCGGCUCUCUAGCCUGAAACUGACGCUGAGAUGCGAAAGCUGGGGGGGCGAACAGGAUUAGAUACCCUGGUAGUCCCAGCCGUAAACGAUGUGCACCUGGUGUUCGCCCGCGAGGGGGAGUGCCGAAGCUAACGCAUUAAGUGCACCGCCUGGGGAGUACGGCCGCAAGGCUGAAACUCAAAGGAAUUGACGGGGGCCCGCACAAGCGGUGGAGCAUGUGGCUCAAUUCGAUGCAACGCGAAGAACCUUACCGGGGUUUGACAUGACGGUCGUAUCCUGUGAAAGCAGGAGUCAGCUCGGCUGGACCGCCACAGGUGUUGCAUGGCUGUCGUCAGCUCGUGCCGUGAGGUGUUGGGUUAAGUCCCGCAACGAGCGCAACCCUUGUUCUUAGUUGCCAGCCUCCCGGAGCAAUCUGGGAGAGGAACUCUAAGGAGACUGCCCCAGCUAAUGGGGAGGAAGGUGUGGAUGACGUCAAGUCAUUAUGGCCCUUAUACCCCGGGCUGCACACGUGCUACAAUGGCCGGUACAAUGGGUUGCAAAACCGUGAGGUGGAGCUAAUCCCAAAAAGCUGGCCCCAGUUCGGAUUGAGGUCUGCGACUCGACCUCAUGAAGCCGGAAUCGCUAGUAAUGGCGCAUCAGCUACGGCGCCGUGAAUACGUUCCCGGGCCUUGUACACACCGCCCGUCACAUCACGAAAGUCGGUUGUACCCGAAGUCGCUGCUCCAACCCGCAAGGGAGGAAGGCGUCGAAGGUAUGGCUGAUGAUUGGGAUGAAGUCGUAACAAGGUA
rnacentral:rRNA from 1 species